ACUCUCGCUUGGAGGAGAGUCAAGGUCUGCUUUUUUUUAAACCACUGUUACUUCGGGUCUCUGUGACAUCCAUAUGAACCUUCACUGGAGGACAGGAGGCUUCCUACAGAGGUGACAUCGUGAAGGCAGAGCCAUUGAAACGUUUGCAAAAUAGCAAAGGGUUCCAGAUGGGAGGAGCCAUUGUUCAAAAUCCAGACCACCCAGCGGGCAUGUCAGGGAUGACACAUCUUGCUGGAAUAGAGGCUCCUCCUGCAGCCUUGGUCCCAGAUGUCAAAAUAUGUGGAGCAGAAGCAGAGCCUUCACUGACGUGACAGCGGACAUGUGAUGGCAGAGU